CAGCAGGACACUUCUCCCGCGCGCACAGCGCUGCCGCGCAAUCCCGCCGCGGAGGGACUCCUCCCGCGCAGUGAAGGGCGAACUUGCCGGCCUGGCGCAGCUUCCCUGCGGAAGAGGAGCCGAAGGCCGCGCGCCCCGCGGACGGAGAACCUGGAGCGCCUGCGUCACCGCCACGCAUUGCUUCACCGAACCGCCGGGCGGCCGGGCUCCAGUCCCAGGUGGAACCCGGCGUCCCCCCCACCCCCCCCCCCCCCGGACAGGCUGGCGCCCGGUGCUGCCGAACCGCUGGCGGCCCCAGCGGCUGCCCUCGCCUCCCCGUGGCUGCGCUGCGUGGGCUUCGGGGAGUCUGGCACGGACCCUGCCCGGAGCCCGCACGGAGCUGGUGACUGCCAAGGCCAUUCGACCCCGGACCCAGGUCAGGAGCAAGUCUCAGCUCCCUGCCCUUUCCUGGCUCCGCGGCAGAAAAAGAAAGUAGGUUUUCACGGUCUUAACUAACGGCUUUUUGCCUCUUCCCAGUCUUUCUCCUCCACCCUAGUGGUCCUGAGCUCCCUCUGUGGCCCUCAACACGCUACUGCUCAUUGUUUGUGUUUUUGUCUUUGUUUUGAAUGGAUUCUAGAGCAGAGACUCAAGGGGAGAGCAGAGGUAAAAGAGGGCAGGGUACUUGCACAAAUAAACUGAAGGGAGGAGCGUAUAGCAUCCGGGGAGAAUCCACACCCAAAGCUACUUAGUGCCAAGCCCUGCUCAUCGACCCUAAUGUCUUGGUCUCCUCCUGCAUACACCCGGGAGCAGGACUGGCCGUCUUCCUGGACUCUGGGCCUGUGUAUACCCGGGUCCUGUCCUUUCUCAUCCCAGGCUGUGCUGCCCCCCCCCCCCCCCCCCGCCCUUCCCCACCUUGUCCUGUAUGAACCUGCCCUGACAGGUGUCACCUUCUGCAUGAACCUGCUCUGACAGGUUUCAUUUGCUAGAGUCUCUGUCUCCUUGCUGCCUCCUGGAGCAAAAUUAGGAAAGCACUGCUCUAGAUCCAUCUGUUGUGAUCUAUGCUGAUUCUCCCCAUUGUUUUAUUAUCUGCCACUCAUACUUUGGCAAAUUGAGUCUUUAAAAAUUUUUUUAAUGUUUAUUUUUGAGAGAAAGGGAGAGGAGCAGAGAGAGAGGGGGACACAGAAUCCAAAGCAGGCUCCAGUCUCUGAGUUGUCAGCACAAAGCCUGACAUGGGACUUGAACCCAGGAACUGUGAGAUCAUGACCUGAGCUGAAGUCUGUCACUUAACUGACUGAGCCACCCAGGUGUUCCCGUAAAUUAAUUCUGAAUUGUAUAAGAUAAUUUUCUUUCAAGUUGGGCAGAUAGGGUAGGUAGGCAUGAAUAAUGGUUCCCUAAAGAUGUCCAUGUGCUAAUCCCCAGAAGCUAUGAAUGUAUUACUUUGCAUAGCAGAAGGAAAAUGUCCUGAUGUGAUUUAAUUAAGAAUGUGGACCUGAGGAGACACUCUUGGAUUGUGAUUGUGCGUGCGUGUGUGUGUGUGUGUGUGUGUGUGUGUGUGUAAUAUAAAUCAUGGGGACCUCAUAGGUGAAAGAGGGAGACAGGAGGAUCAGAGUCACGGGAGACAUGAGUACAGAAGCAGAGGCAGGGGUGAGGUGAGAGCUGGCUAGGGCCAUGAGGAAGGACUGUGGGUGGCCUCUAGAAGCUGGUAAAGGCAUGGAAGAGAUUCUGCCCUAGAACUUGCAGAAAGAGUGCAGCCCUGCCAAGCGUCAGCACCUUCCUUGAGGUUCGCACCGUAAGACACACGGGACUCCGGAUUCCAGAAUUGCAAGAGAAUAUGUGUUGUGUUUUGUUGCAGCAGCGAUCAGAAACUAACAGAGGCCAGUGAGGUGCAUCUUUUCGAACAGCACAGAUAUUGUCAUAUUGAUGACAAAACUGAGCCAUGGUGCGUUUAGGACUUGUCCAGGACCACAGGGGGAGGAAGUGACCAAGACUCAGCCUGAGGAAUAGUUAAUUGGAAGCCUCACCUGAGCAGAGGACUCAUUGCCCAGGACCCUCAAUUGGGACUCCAGUGCGGCUGUUCACCUCAGGGCUUCCCCCGCCAGAAGGUUGGAUGUUGU